rnacentral:lncRNA from 1 species
AUGAGUCGCCUCUGGCUGGGGGUCGUCCACGCAGUUGUUUCUUGCCUGGCACCCCGGAAGCACACCUGCCACGGGUUCACCCCCAAGCUCCGGGGGCGGGGCCUCACCAGGGGCAGCAAGGGGACCUUCCCCGUCUUUCUUUGCAGAGGAGGCCCCGCAGGGGCCGGGUGUGCUGAGCACAGGGGCCACUGGGAGGUGCUGAGAAAGGUCCUUCAUUGGAUUUUUCCACUCCAUAGCUUGACUUCUCUCUUAAAGUGCUCACCAGAAGAUUCUCCAAGAGAUACCCUACUACUCGGCCUCAGUCGUCCAUGA